UAAGAAAAAUUAAAAUCAUUCUGAACUUUGUGAAAUCUGAAAGACUAAAGUAAAAAUUAAAAAUGGAUAACAUCAAGCGCGAUGAACUUAGAGACAUUGAAAAACUGAAAGAUACCAGCAAUUUUCAAUUUUGGAAAUUCCAAGUUACAAUUGUUCUGAAAGCUGGAAAUGCGUACGAGAUAAUGACAGGACAAAGUGUGAAACCUGCAGCGGAUGGGGAAGAUGGAAAGAAGGACCAAAAACAACUCAAGGAAUGGCAGAAAGGAGACGCUCUUGCACAAAAAGUGAUCGUCCAAACGGUGGAGAGAAGUGUGAUGAUUCAUCUCAUGAACUGUGACAGCGCAAAAGCAAUGUGGGAUGUACUUUUGAAACUUUACGAACGAGAUGACACCGAACAAAGAUGCCAACUUCUGGAGGAAUUUUUCAACGCUAAAUAUCAGAAAGGUACUUCCAUCAUGAGCCAUGUGAGUACUCUGGAGAAUCUCUACACAAGAUUGAAUGCUAUUAAGGGAAACGUGUCUGAGCAAAUGUUAAUAACUAAAAUUAUAACAACCCUACCUAGUCAUUACAGCUAUUUUUCUGCAGCUUGGGAAGCCACAGCUACUGAGAGUAAAACUUUGGUAACUUUAAAAUCACGACUCAUGGCUGAGGAAAAUCGUCAUAAAAGCCAAAAGGAACCUGAAGGCUUAGCUUUCAGAGCACAAGUGCAGAAAUGUUACAAUUGUAAUAGAGUAGGGCACCGUUUGAGAGAAUGUAGGGAUAAAAUUGUCUGUAAUCUAUGUAACAAACCGAAUCAUGUUGCCAAAUUUUGUAGAAAUAAAAAUGGCAGUGCGCGUGAUAAAACUGAUAACAAAAAUAAAGGGUCUAAUCCUCCUUGUGGAAUUUGUAAGAAGACUAAUCAUCUAGAGGCACAAUGUUUUUUAGAGAUAAGAAUGAAAGUGAUGAGAAAAAUAAAAGAAAUAAAAAUGGUAAACCUGUGCUUAUGGCAAACAAUUUGUGCGACGGUGACGUCAAAACAUGGGUCAUUGACUCCGGCGCUACGUCACAUAUCUGCCGUUCAAGGGAAUAUUUCACUGAAUUCAUUAAGUGUGAUCACAAAAUUGGUGUCGCCAAAGAGGGCGAAUUUUUGAUCGCCAGAGGAAUAGGAGUGAUUCAUUUUGAUCGAUUUAUUUUACGUGAUGUGUAUUAUAUCCCUGAAGCGUCUAGAAAUCUAAUUUCUAUAAGUGUAAUAACCCAGCAGAAUGGUCAGGUAUUCUUUGAUAAAAAUGAAGUAAUAAUUAAAAAAGAUGGUAAGUUUGUAUUUAAAGGUACUCAGGAUGAAUCAGGUCUCUUUAUUGCAAAUGCAGA
rnacentral:lncRNA from 1 species